UAGGGAAUAUUGGUCAAUGGGUGCAAGCCUGCACCAGCCAUGCCGCGUGCAGGAAGACGGCCUUCUGGGUUGUAAACUGCUUUUGUCAGGGGAUAAAAAUACCUUGCGAGGUAAAUUGAAGGUACCUGGCGAAUAAGCCACGGCUAACUACGUGCCAGCAGCCGCGGUAAUACGUAGGUGGCAAGCGUUGUCCGGAUUUAUUGGGUUUAAAGGGUGCGUAGGCGGCUUUGUAAGUCAGUGGUGAAAUAUGUCAGCUUAACUGAGAGGGUGCCAUUGAUACUGCAGAGCUUGAGUACAGAUGAGGUAGGCGGAAUUGACGGUGUAGCGGUGAAAUGCUUAGAUAUCGUCAAGAACACCUAUAGCGAAGGCAGCUUACUAGGCUGUAACUGACGCUGAGGCACGAAAGUGUGGGGAUCAAACAGGAUUAGAUACCCUGGUAGUCCACACUGUAAACGUUGAUUACUCGCUGUGUGCGAUAUACAGUACGCGGCCAAGCGAAAGCGAUAAGUAAUCCACCUGGGGAGUACGCCGGCAACGGUG
rnacentral:rRNA from 1 species